GGAGGCAGGCCUCAGCGGAUCUGGCAGAUGUGUGAUGAGUUUUUUCUGGAGCGUUUGUAUGUGUGUGUGCUUUUUUUUUGGUGGUGAGUCGUGUGUAUGUGUGGGGGUGGGAAGCAGGUUUAGAGGGAAAACAUAAGGGUUUUCUUUGUUGUUGUCCCCAGGAGUGUGUUGUUGGUCCUGUGGCCAAGGCAGGGCUGUGGCAGUAAACAUCGCAUGCAGUCACGAUAUCUGGACCCAGCAUAUGGAAUUUGAUGUCAAAGGAAGGCGGUGCAGAUGUUCCUGAGAGCUGGCUUGCAGUUUCCCUGUUUUCCUUCUGCUCGUCUGUUCCCAGCUGACCAAUGUUGCCAAGGUGCUCCCUUACUCGGCGCUGGCGCUUUUGUUUUUCCUAUAAGAGCGAGUGCUCCAACAGGAGGGUCAUCUCCAGGCCAGCUCCAAAUGAGAAAUAGUUGGCCGGGUGCCCUGGCGUCCGCUCAAAUCCGCCCUUUUGAAAAGAUUACUGUGCUGCUGCCGCCACCUCCCGUGGGCCAUGCCAAAUCUGCUGAGGGAAGAGGAAUGUGCCGGAGGAGGGAGGGAGCCACAAAGUAGGGGGGCACAUUUCAUCCGACCUCUUUCCGAAAGUUUUUCUCAUUACUUUUCUUCUCUCUUUCCGCCAUACAUUUUUUAAUUUUGGGCUGCACACAGCAGAUGCUUGGACUAUUACAAAAUAAAAUCCAACUGGGUUUUUCCACUCUGUU